rnacentral:rRNA from 1 species
CCUACGGGAGGCAGCAGUGGGGAAUAUUGGACAAUGGGCGAAAGCCUGAUCCAGCAAUGCCGCGUGAGUGAUGAAGGCCUUCGGGUCGUAAAGCUCUUUUACCAGGGAUGAUAAUGACAGUACCUGGAGAAUAAGCUCCGGCUAACUCCGUGCCAGCAGCCGCGGUAAUACGGAGGGAGCUAGCGUUGUUCGGAAUUACUGGGCGUAAAGAGUACGUAGGCGGUUAUUCAAGUCAGAGGUGAAAGCCCGGGGCUCAACCCCGGAACUGCCUUUGAAACUAGAUAACUAGAGUCUUGGAGAGGUUAGUGGAAUUCCGAGUGUAGAGGUGAAAUUCGUAGAUAUUCGGAAGAACACCAGUGGCGAAGGCGACUAACUGGACAAGUACUGACGCUGAGGUACGAAAGCGUGGGGAGCAAACAGGAUUAGAUACCCUGGUAGUCCACGCCGUAAACGAUGAUAACUAGUUGUUCGGUCACUUGGUGACUGAGUGACGCAGCUAACGCAUUAAGUUAUCCGCCUGGGGAGUACGGUCGCAAGAUUAAAACUCAAAAUGAAACUUGACGG